CACUGAGGUGGUGAGGACCCCUGCCCAGCCCUCAGGAGCCCCCUCUGACUGUGUAAAGAGCUGAGUCAUGAUCAAUCAAAGGUACUCCGCUGGAGGGAUGUGUUAGGGCCCAGAAAAGGGAGUUGCUUGCUCGCCUUAGGGUGGAGUUGGUAAGGGGAGGUUUCCCAGAGUUCAGUUGAAGCCAGGUUCUGAGGUAUGAGUAGGAGUUUGACAGGCGGAAGAAGCAACUCGAGCAAAAGCUGGAAAUCUAACAGAAGCAUUGCCCUGGGGGACUGGCUGCAGGCAGAGGGCUUGCCCCGCAACCUGCUGUGCCACUGAGGGCCCUGGGUCUUGUGAUCUGCUGCUUCUCCCGCCCAGCCCCUCCCUCUCUCUGCCCAGUGCCGGGGGAAGACAUUUCCCUCCAUCCACCUGUGGACCCGGCUCCUGAUGGCCCUGGCUGGCCUCCUCUAUGCCUCGGCCAUUGUGGCCCACGACCGGCAGCCUGAGUACCUGCUGCGGGCCACGCCCUGGUUCCUGACCUCCCUCGGCCGUGCGGCGCUGGACCUCGCUAUUAUUUUCCUUUCGUGUGUGAUGAAGAGCAAGAUGAGACAGGCCUUAGGAUUUGCCAAGGAAGCCAGAGAGAGCCCUGACACCCAAGCCCUUUUGACCUGUGCAGAGAAAGAGGAAGAAAACCAGGAGAAUUUGGAUUGGGUGCCUCUCACCACACUGUCACACUGCAAGUCACUGAGGACAAUGACAGCAAUCAGUCGCUACAUGGAGCUGACCAUCGAGCCUGUGCAGCAGGCAGGCUGCAGUGCCACCAGGCUGCCAGGUGACGGACAGAUGAGCGCCGGAGAUGCGUCCCUGCGGGAGCCCCCGUCGUACCCUCCCGUUCAGGUCAUCCGGGCCCGGGUGUCUUCCGGCAGCUCCUCUGAGGUCUCCUCCAUCAACUCCGACCUGGAGUGGGACCCUGAAGAUGUGAACCUUGAAGGCAGCAAAGAAAAUGUGGAGCUACUGGGAUCCCAGGUGCACCAGGACUCUGUGAGGACAGCACACCUGAGUGAUGAUGAUUAACACCUUCUGGAGCCAGCUCAUCAGCUCAGAGCCCAGGGUCAGGAGUUUGUUCAGUAACGCAGCAGGAAUCAAUCUGCACUGACACCGCGGCAGGAACUGAAGCUGCCCUGGAAAGUGAGGAACCAGGAGCCGUCACUGAGUGUGGCUGGGCUACAUCAUAGCUCAUCAUGGAGCUACGACUUUGGGUACUGCGGACAGACCUGGAUAGGCCCAGCAUUUGUUCUGAAGAUUACAGUUCACAGACAGCUUUUGCUUUGUAAGGAUAAUCCAAAGGAUCCUAGACCCGCUUUUCCUUUUCCCUUUAUUCCCUUGAGAGUCAGCCAUAAACUGAAUACCUGCUAGGUUCCAGGAAUGAGUUCACCUAACAAAUAGCAAAUGUGUCUGGUUAGAUCUCAGCAGAGCCCAUUCUGCAAGACCUGGCUGAGCCAGAUGAGAGGGUGGGCCCUGUGCUGGGGGGCCUUGGGUCACACACAGGAACCAAGACCUGGCUUCCGCCCCCCAGUCACCCACUUGGGUUAUCUGCUGGAAGUUAUCGAUAGGACUGUGUGGCCAACCAAGUGCUUGUGAGAUCACUGACACUGCAAAAACAAAGCAAACUGCUCCGGGUACCAGGACUUCCUCCAACCUGGCAAGGGUGUGUGCUGAGGCGGGGCUUGCAGGUGAGGGGGGCUGUAUGCUUCAGGAACUAACCAAAUGCAUGCAGAAGAUAAGAGGCAUGAUGGGAGGUGUUCAAGCACAGCAAUCCCAUUUGGGAGUUAUUUUGAUACUGCGAUGAGUAAGGGUAAGGGCGCAUGGAAUGGGGCUAAGGUGGGAGUGAACACUGGGGUGAAUAAAUUUUAAAUCAAUUCAA
rnacentral:sRNA from 1 species